AGCCAGCUACGUAGAAUUCCCAAAGAAAUAACAAAGAUGCAACAAAGGUUGAAGCAGAGAACAACAUAUAUUGUCAUCUUCCUCCCGCGUCCCUUUCAAGUUAACACAUCGCAGGAGGCAUGUCACGCGUUUUGUCCUUGGGGCUUUGAGAUCAAAACCCGUCUCGCCUCAAGGACAAUAGAGUCGAUCGGGUCCGUCUGCUUCCCCCUUUCCUCUUUUUGAAUAGAUUGAAAACUCAGAAAAGUAGGUCUACCGUAAUUGGUGAAUGGUUUUGAAUUUUGAAUUGGGCCCUCUCAUCCAUUAUUUGGGAACCCUAGAUUUUCCCUUUUAUACAUAGCAGCUCAUUAGUCGUUGUGGGGGGAGUUUUUUUUUUAGUUGUAUAAUUUUUGGUUGGAUUUUCACCUAGGAAGAAAAUAUGAAGAAAACUUGAGCAAAAUACUCUAAAUACACGCUAAAUACAUUUCGAAAAGUAGAGGAUACCAUAUUUUUAGUGUGUGGGUUGCAUUUUUUGCUUCAACCUUUGAUUGUCACUCGUGGUCGAGUUCUCGUGGUAGGAUGAUCUUCUUCUCACUCGCUUGUCCCUGCUUGCUUCCCGAAACAAGAGGAGCAGAACCAUCCUAAGUGAUCUAUUCUACUCUAUGGCUAAGACUUAUUGAAAGGAGGAUUUUGACAAAUUAAUGGGUAAGGUGGAAAAAGGUUGAUCAUCGAGUUAAGUAAAACCUUGAGGAUGCUAGGUAGGAGAAGUGGCCGAAAGUUCAUUCAACAGUAAACAGGAGCGACCACGUACACUUGCAUGUGCAAUAGGUUGCAACAAAUUUUUGUACACAGAAUUCGUAAUACACUCCAUGAUGAUAUUAUAAUAUGUGAAUGGUUAAAUAAUACAAAAAUAUGACCGUAAAAAAUAAGCUUAUUUGUUUUAAGGAAGAUAUAACAGCUACAAUCAGUUGAACUGAAUCAAUAUUAUUUCACAAGGAAAGAAGUCAAUCAACAAGGAUAAAAUAAAGAUCUUGGAGCAAUCAAGAAGGAAGCUGAAGAUUAGCCUUAACUUUUUUUCUUGUAAAAUAAGAAUCUCUACUGCUUUUUUUUUUUAAAGAAAAAACUUUUGGGUUGUCAUCUCUUUAUCUAAAAGAUUCAAGUCUCAACAUCUCAACACUAUAUAAAAGCCAGUGUCUGCUAAAUAGAAGAUGUAUAAGAAUCUAAAAUA